AGCGAACGCUGGCGGCGUGCUUAACACAUGCAAGUCGAACGUGAAAUGUAGCAAUACAGAGUAAAGUGGCGUACGGUGAGUAACACGUGGGUAAUCUACCAAAGUGUCUGGAAUAACCGAUCGAAAGGUUGGCUAAUACUGGAUAGUUCAAGCUUGUUAUAAUGGCAAGAUUGGGAAAGGGAGCUGGCAACAGCCUUCGCAUUUUGAUGAGCUCGCGUCUGAUUAGCUAGUUGGUAAGGUAAUGGCUUACCAAGGCUGAGAUCAGUAGCUGGUCUGAGAGGAUGAUCAGCCACACUGGAACUGAAACACGGUCCAGACUCCUACGGGAGGCAGCAGUGGGGAAUCUUGCGCAAUGGACGAAAGUCUGACGCAGCCACGCCGCGUGAGUGAAGAAGGCC
rnacentral:rRNA from 1 species